rnacentral:rRNA from 1 species
AGCAGUGGGGAAUAUUGGACAAUGGGCGAAAGCCUGAUCCAGCCAUGCCGCGUGUGUGAAGAAGGUCUUCGGAUUGUAAAGCACUUUAAGUUGGGAGGAAGGGCAGUAAAUUAAUACUUUGCUGUUUUGACGUUACCGACAGAAUAAGCACCGGCUAACUCUGUGCCAGCAGCCGCGGUAAUACAGAGGGUGCAAGCGUUAAUCGGAAUUACUGGGCGUAAAGCGCGCGUAGGUGGUUCGUUAAGUUGGAUGUGAAAUCCCCGGGCUCAACCUGGGAACUGCAUUCAAAACUGUCGAGCUAGAGUAUGGUAGAGGGUGGUGGAAUUUCCUGUGUAGCGGUGAAAUGCGUAGAUAUAGGAAGGAACACCAGUGGCGAAGGCGACCACCUGGACUGAUACUGACACUGAGG